rnacentral:rRNA from 1 species
UACGUAGGGGCCUAGCGUUGUCCGGAUUUAUUGGGCGUAAAGAGCUCGUAGGCGGCUUGGUUAGUCAGGUGUGAAAUCUCCACGCUCAACGUGGAGGGGCCACCUGAUACUGCCAUGGCUUGAGUACGGUAGGGGCAGAGGGAAUUCCCGGUGUAGCGGUGAAAUGCGUAGAGAUCGGAAAGAACACCAACGGCGAAAGCACUCUGCUGGGCCGACACUGACACUGAGAGACGAAAGCUAGGGGAGCGAAUGGG